rnacentral:rRNA from 1 species
UACGUAGGGGGCAAGCGUUGUCCGGAAUCAUUGGGCGUAAAGAGCGUGUAGGCGGCCCGGUCAGUCCGCCGUGAAAGUCCAGGGCUCAACCCUGGAAUGCCGGUGGAUACUGCCGGGCUGGAGUCCGGAAGAGGCGAGUGGAAUUCCUGGUGUAGCGGUGAAAUGCGCAGAUAUCAGGAGGAACACCAAUGGCGAAGGCAGCUCGCUGGGACGGUGCUGACGCUGAGACGCGAAAGCGUGGGGAGCAAACAGG